rnacentral:ncRNA from 1 species
UAUCUUCGGGGUAGGGUGAGAUUCCCAACCGGCAGUAUAGUCUGCGAGCGACAGUCCUGUCGCAUGAUACGGUGCGAUUCCGUAACCGACGGUAUAGUCCGGAUGAGAGAAGGUA